GAUGAACGCUGGCGGCGUGCCUAAUACAUGCAAGUCGAGCGAACGGACGAGAAGCUUGCUUCUCUGAUGUUAGCGGAGGACGGGUGAGUAACACGUGGAUAACCUACCUAUAAGACUGGGAUAACUUCGGGAAACCGGAGCUAAUACCGGAUAAUAUUUUGCACCGCAUGGUUCAAAAGUGAAAGACGGUCUUGCUGUCACUUAUAGAUGGAUCCGCGCUGCAUUAGCUAGUUGGUAAGGUAACGGCCUACCAAGGCAACGAUGCAUAGCCGACCUGUGAGGGUGAUCGGCCACACUGGAACUGAGACACGGUCCAGACGCCUACGGGAGGCAGCAGUAGGGAAUCUUCCGCAAUGGGCGAAAGCCUGACGGAGCAACGCCGCGUGAGUUAUGAAGGUCUUCGGAUCGUAAAACUCUGUUAUUAGGGAAGAACAUAUGUGUAAGUAACUGUGCACAUCUUGACGGUACCUAAUCAGAAAGCCACGGCUAACUACGUG
rnacentral:rRNA from 1 species